rnacentral:lncRNA from 1 species
GUUCUGGGUUUGGUGGCCCUGGAGCAGGGAGCCCGGGCCGGCCGUAGGUGACGAAUGCCUGGACGCCCUGGGCCAGGGCUUUGUCUGGAUUGUAAAGACAACGUUUCCGGGCCAGCUGGAGGG